rnacentral:lncRNA from 1 species
UGUUUUUUUUGCGGUGGCCGUGGCGAGUAGGAGUAGCAACUAGCAAAGUGAGCGGCGUGCGGGUUUUUUUUUCGACGGCCAGCAGGGACCAGCGGUGCGCUGGUGGCUGGGUGUGAUAGGGUUGGGAGGGGUGGGGAAUGGGGAUAAGAUUAUAUAACUAGGGUUACCUUAUGGGUUAGUGAGCUUCUCUACUUUUGGACCGGAUAUUUUUCACCCAUGGGUUAACGGGUAUGGGGACUGCUAGAACAUACCCGUACCCACGUACCCGAUGGGUGAAGGGUUUGGUCCAUUUACGUACCCGUGGGUACUGUGUUUAGUCCAUAUUCAGAUUCUAAUGGAGUAAAUACCCGUCGGGUAUCGGAUCGCGGGUCUCCAUUACCAUCUUUACUUGGAAGAGACUAGUAUGUUCUCUGUUUUUUAUUCCGAAGAACUAGCAUGCAAUUGAUAGCUUGCCAAAAAUAAAGGAAAGGUGUCGCACAUAUCCACAAUCCACUGCAGGGAGUCAUCACUUAUCUAAGCAUAAUGCAAUGCAAUAUUUUUCGCAAUAGCAAAAUCACUAUAGUAUUUAGCAGUAUCUGGUGAAAAGUCACCAAUCUGUUUUGCUUCUGUGUGCGGCAUUGCCUCAUAGGCUCAUACUGUUUCUUGAAAGCCAAAUGGUUAACAAAAUUUUUAUUCAAGGGACAUGUCUGGUUAAAAUGGGUUUGGUGUUGAACACCUGUAUAUAUCCAUGGCGUCACCUUGUGAUGUAGUUGUUGAUACCACUUGCACCAUCUUAAGAGAAGUCAAAAUGAUGUUUUAUGUUUACUUAGUUAAAGUCCUUGUGCUAUGCAACAGUUUGCUAAAUGUGCUAAAUGGGGGAUGUCUACCUCUGCUGCCAUGGCUUUUGAUAGCUAUAUUGACCAAAACCAGAAACCACUGCAAGAUCAGAUGAUGAAACGCUUACAGAGAAAAUGACGUAAUCAAUUGUGAAACUUAUUUUUGCAUCCACAUCGAAAAAGAAACGAAACAAAAAAAUCGAGGAAUAAUAAAGUUAAAUUCAGUAUUGCAAUCCAGUUUGCAAGCAACUACCUAACCAGAUCAAACCAGUACGUGUGUGGAUUAAGUAAUCAGAGACGUUUUCUACACUGGUUAACCUCGUCCAUGAACUGCCCUAUUGAUGAUCCAAGAGGUCGUGUGCAUCCUCUCUACUCAGACUUCCCUAUCAACAACGGAAAAAUGAACUCAUUUUUCUGGAGCAAUCAAACUAUACUACCUGCUCCGAUUCUGGCGUCUCAAUUAGUCCAUCGGUUCUUCACGUUUCAUUGGAACAUCUCUACUGGCUAGCUCUUCAUAAGAAACGUGAAAGGAUUAUUUCGGUUAAUAUCAUGAGUAUAUGAGGAUAUCCAUCCAGCCCUGUUUUUAAGAUAAUGAAACAAAAUUCUGCGUUUAGCCACUUCAUGAAAAAGACAUGAGUCUAGCAUUAUUACAGAACGUAGCCAACGCUACCCAAAAUCACCAAUGGGUAAAGUUUGGCAUUACGUAGCGAACAUGAUCCUAUUAAGCCAUAAUUUGUGAUUUUGGUGAUUGAGUCCAACAUAGUCAUUGGGACUAAUGGAUUGUCUAGCAUGUAUCUUAUAGGUCCCAAGUAUACAAACCAAACCAUGGCAAGGUCCAAAUCAUGGUAUUCAAGUAUCCAAGCUAUGGUAUCUAGGAUUAUUCUAUGGUAUUCAAGCAUCCAAAUGACAGAAAAUUCUAGAGCACCACAAUGACGGUAUUUUCGGUGCUUGUAUUGGAUGAGUUGAAGAGAAAAAGAAACACGUUCCGAUGGUCCACCUGAGAAGCGUCAGAGCAACCAUCGGACGAAAUGGUACAACUGCAGGCGGUCAAGACCACCGGAUGUUCUGAUGCCCUGAUUUCUAGUAGCGUCGGAUGAAUUCUGAGGAUAAGACUUGGAAGACAAAGAAAACCCUAUAGCACCGGAUGAUCCGAUGGUAGGCCAAGAGGAGCGUUGAAGGAAACAUAUUUACUUUGCGAAGUUCCUUUUGCUAGAAGCUCUUCAGCACCGAAUGAUCCAACGAUACCAUCGGAUGAAUUUUCGACGUGUUAGUGAAGAACUUGGGCGCGGGGAGGCCAACAGCUAGUAGCACCGGAUGUUCUGAUGCUACCCAAAUGUAUAGCAUCGGAACAUCCGAUGGUACACUUUAACUAGCUAUUGGAGCAGCGACUCUUUUAUGCCUUGGGGCUAUUUAUACCCCCUCCACUUACCCAUUUGAAGUUACUGGAGUGUGCAGAAGUCCAUUGGACAUCAAGGCUCAUCAAGAACACAUCCAAGCCACCAAAAGUGCUUAAGUGACUAUUCUAAGGCUUAGCACAAGUUUAGAAGAGUGAUUAGUGCUAGGAUAGGCCUAGAGAAAGGGAAAAUGCAAGGUGUGCCUACCUUUUGAUCAGUUCUAGGAGUGAACCACACUUGUACAAGGUAUGCCAGCGCCUUGGAGCCUUGGUGGCUCGUCGGCAAAUCUUCGACCCUCCAGCUUGGUGAGGAGUGGCGUUGACGACCGUGUGCGGGGAACGUGGAGAUCCCCUUCCUUAGUGGCAAAGCUCCUUAGUGGAGACGGCAUCAAUAUGACCAGGGAACUUGACGUGAGCCUUAGUGGCCAAGCCUUUGUGGCAAGUCAAGGGGUGUCCCGGGAGAGACUUGGUGAUCGGGAAGCAAUACUCUUGUGUAAGUGAUUCAACAAUUUGAACUAGUGGUGGCUUAAUGCCUACCGAUACCAUGGGAUAAAUCAUCGUGUCAAGAGUUUUUUCCCCUCAUCCCCUCCUUUACGUUUCCGCAUUUCAUACAUGCAACUUGUGUGCCUUUACUUUCUUAGUGUAGUAUCUUGCUAGGAUUGGCUCUAGGUUGCAAAACUCGCUUUGGGAUGAGGGUUUCACACUAGAUCAACCAUAGUUGCAUAUCUUGAUAGCUUUAUCUAGUUUAAGUUUGAUGUAAAAGUAGUAAAAGUCAUAGGUUAAGGAUUUAAGUAGCCUAAUUCACCCCUCCUCCUUUUAGGCUACAAGCACCGUUCCACAUUAUUAUGAACUUCUGAAUACGAAAGGCCAUUCAUGGGUGGCAAAAAAUCAACUCCAGCUGAUGGCAAUCUUAAGUCAUCAACUCCCCUUUGUUCAUUACUUCGUUGUAAUUAUGCCCAGAAACAUAGCUAACGCAUCCCCUGACUAAGAUCUGCGAAAACGUAUCCAGCGAUGGAUACACAUUUUUUUUUUUGCCUUACCAACUAUCUCCCUCAAGUACAUUGUAUAUAUGUAAACAUCCAACAGUUUAGUUUUCUAUGCUGCUACUUGAGGAAGAAUUUAGCAAGAUCCCGCAAGACAUAUGGGGCAUAUUUUUGUGCCCUCUUCCAACUGCCCACGAACAGCUCUGUGCCUCUGUUUCACGCCAAAUAUACACACCAAGAUCAAUGUCAAACUAUUAUCUAUUUCUUCGUACAGACCAUUGUAUCCACAGGAAGCAACUUGACGUAAUCUGGCUUAGUUUCCGGCCUUGUUCAUCUCGUCCUCUCACUAAACUUCUCACCCGGGCACUGGGGCACGCCCCCACUCGUCGACUUUGGAUCUGGCUUGAAAUUUUUUCAUAGAUUUUUUCUUCUCUUAUGAUAUGGCGACCAAAGUUGUCAAGUGAGUAGGUAGCUGCUCCAAUCACACAUAGGUCAAAUAGAUGAUGCUCUCUGUUCCUUGACAAUGCAUGAGCUAAGUGUGUUGCAUAGGAUCAUAGCUAGGUUUACUUCAUCAUAUCUAGUGCAAACCAUCUGCCUCGUGCAAUCUUGAGAACUAUAAAUCAAGACCACAUGAUGCUAAUCCAAUGGCUAGGUUUAGUGAUGCAGCACCUUUUCCAUGAUAUGCAAAAGUGGUCGGCGGGUGAAGGGCUUAACUGCAAAAUAAUCCUACCACUAACCCUAUCCACUGGAUUAGCAUCUUAUGGUCUUGAUUCAUAGUUUCCAAGGUUGCACAGGGUAGAUGGUUUGCAUGAGAUACGUUCCCCUAAAACAAACCCACCUUUUUUGCCGGAAGCUUUUGGAGGAGGUUGUUCAACCAAUAAUGACCUGGUUUGUUGGUAUGAACACAAGGUCCACCGGUGAUAUUCCUUCUGGAAUGUAUUUCAUUUCAGUAACAUAUUGUUUGAGAAAUUAAAAAAAAUGCUAGAGUCGACUUCGUUAAGUCUAAACCACACUGAACCUCACAAAAACAAUUCUGAACGACAGUAGAGCUAGAUCUAAGCUUACUACUACUUGCAUUUAAUUAAUAGAUAUUGAUUGCUAGUGUAAGGGCAGUAUGGUCAACAGUUUUAAGGGGUGUUUGGAUUCGAGGUGCUAAAUUUUAUGAGGGUCACAUCGAAUGUUCGGACGCUAAUUAGGAGGACUAAAUAUGAGCUAAUUAUAAAACUAACUGCAGAACUCCUAUACUAAUUCGCGAGACGAAUCUAUUAAGUAUAAUUAAUCCAUAAUUAGCAAAUGGUUACUGUAGCACCACAUUGUCAAAUCAUGGACUAAUUAGGCUUAAUAGAUUCGUCUCGCGAAUUAGACUCCAUCUGUGCAAUUAGUUUUAUAAUUAGACUAUAUUUAAUACUCCUAAUUAGUAUCAAAUAUCCGACGUGACAGGUACUAUGAGUUAUUAUCCAAACACCCCUUUAAUAAUGUUGUAUCCGGCAACUCGAUUGCAUGCUACCAACUCAGCUGCGUGGUCUGGUUCAUGAGACUUGCAGUCUUUGAGGUGUCACCUACCCAUCGACUGGGACAUAAUCCUAACACGAAAGGCACCGAUUCUUUUUUCUAGGACUGCGCUGGUAAGAGCGUGAGAGCAACGCUACCGUGGCACGUACGACCGCUGGUCGCCGGAGUGAUGGGCAAACGGCUACGGAGCGCUGGAACCGGAAGCGAGGCUGGCUGAGGCGUGAUGCGGCAACCUGUUUUGAAUUUUGAUCCGUGAACACGAUUCAGCAGAAAAAUAAAAUUAUGUUGGGGUAUCCAUCCAUCAGUGUUUAACUACUCUACCGGUAGAAAAAUAAAAUUCAGAGGUCACCGCGAUUCACCAGAUAUAUAGGAUAUAUCGGGACAAAUUCAAUAAAUUUAUUUUUUUUCCAAAUUUUUUUUGCAUGGUUCCACUAGGAAUCGUCCCCGAUCCAAUAAAGAUAACAAAAUGCACAUAAUUAAGAACAAAAAGAUUAUAGCGUUCUAGCACCCCUGCAGCCUGCAAAGCUUUGCCAGACAAAAAGAAUGGGCCAAGGUCUCGAUCGUCCUUCCAGAAAAAUAAGGCCUGCCUAAGGGGCUUCUUCUUAAACCAUUAGCGGCCUGGCCCAUUAAGCUGCUUGGUUGGCAAGAAGAGAGCCAAAGGUCAUAAAAGAAAAACAAAAAGGGAAGGCAGGCUUUGGCUGCAGUGAAGCACUCCUGAUCUAGGGUCUCUUUAGUAGAGCUCCCAAAACGGCUCCACCACCGACUUCAUCGGGAGCCCUACCAAAUGGUUGUUUGCAAAAUAGCUUUGAGGUUGAAGUCCACCUGGAACUAGAGCCCUUUUUUACUACGCGCAGGAAACUGAAAAAUAUGGCUCCCCGUAGCUCCUCCUCAUCCCGGCAUGCACAAGUACACAGUUGUCCCUCGAAAUUGCAAAUACUACAGCCAAAAUGCCACUCACCGGGGGAGCGGCGCGCUGAGGCCAGCCGCAGGCGGUCCGUGCGUCAAGGGAGCAGUAUGCCGGGCGUGGAGCGUGGCGGCGGCACGUCGGUGCCAGAGCGCGGUAGCUGGUCGGCGAGCAGCGGCGGAUUCAGCCCACCUCGACUCCGCGUGGCUCGGAGCAGCGCGGCAGGUUGAGAGCAGCAUGCAAGGUUGGAGCGGUGUGCGAGGUCGCCGGUCGGAGCGGCGCAGCAGGGCCGGAGCAAAUCGACGGGACGAGCGAAGCGCGUGAGCGCCUGAGGAUAGAGACGGGGAGAAAAAGAAGGAUUGGAUAAGGAAGAACGGAAGAAAAAGGGAAGAAAAAGGCUGCGGUACAAAAGAGAAUGGAACCGGAUAUUGAGUAAAAAAAAGAUGCGUUUAAAAAAAUGGUAUAGAAUAAUCUAUAAUUUUAUUCGUUAUUUCUUAUUACAUAGUAUAAAAUCAUGUUAUAAUUCCAUUUUUUUAUUUUUUUUAUUUCAAAUGCAUCAUAAAUUGAGGGAAAAAUAUAAACUUUACUCAAUAGUUAUGGGCAUAUUGGACAUUUAACCUCUUCUACGUAUUAUAAAAAAUAGAAGAAGCCAUUUUGCCAAACGUUUUCCAAAACGACUUCAACUCUAACAGAGGAGCCGAAGCCGAAGUCAUUUUAACCACAACCAGAGCUCUGCCAAACUAGCCCAGAUAUGCUUGUGCCGUGGAGGUGGGUCCAUACAUUUUCAAGUACCUCACCACCUGACUUCACUUAUUACAAGAACUCAGCAGAGUUGGUAUCAUCAUACGACCAUGAUGAGUGAAAAAUCACCUCCUGAGUUCAGUUGAUACUUCUGUUUCGAACAUCGAUGCAUAAAGCGGGCACUCUGCCCCCCUUACAAAAACAAAUUCAGAGCUGAAGCACCCUUUUACAAAUAGUAGAAGAACAAAACGUCGAAAGAUGGGAAUCUACCACGACACAAAGAAAGGCAAGAAAGAGCCCUCAAAAAAAAAAAGGCAAGAAAGAGUAAAGGGGCAGAGCAUCCAAGAUUGCAUUUCAAACGCAGCAAAGUAUAUAGUAUGUUCGACUUUCUUUUGCAUUAAGUGAUAGCAGUCUACAUGGCUGGUCAAGCUAAAGACCACUUAACUUCAUGCGUGAACUGUGCAAUUAUAUAAUUGUGAAGGAAAAUCAAUACUUCUUUUUUCUGCAAUGGACGGUAUAAACUAAAUCCUUAUUUAUCUUCUCGUAUAUACUUCGUGUACUGUAGACGAUAUAUACCCUUUGCUAUGCGUAACAUGAACCAAGAGUUCUCAAAAUACCUAUACCCAUGUUCGAACUUGAGGGGAAAACCCAGCUUCACUAUGGAAAAGACCCCGUCAGCUUGAUAUGAUCGAGGGUACUCCUCAAGCCAUACCGCUCAACGGCUCGCAUGCCUGCUCGAAACCCAUCUCCGUAGGCCACGGAAGGAUCUGUCUCAAUCUGGUGCUUGAAGAACUCGCCAAGUCUCUUUUCGAAUUCUGUCUUUGCACCCUUUUUUGAUGAGGAGGAUGUUGAAGAGGAUGAUGACGCAGCUGAGGUGGUUGCCAUGCUACCAGAACCUGAUGUGAUUUCCGACUCAAGCCACAGGUGAGCUAGAACCUGACAGAUGCCUUCUUCAACCUCUGGACUCAGGGUUCGGUAUCCUACCAAAAAUGGGGUAUUAAGAUGGUAUAUAUUUCUGUUCUAGAAACAUAGAAGUAUGAUGAGGAUGCUGCAAAUGAAAAUAAAUAAGCACAACAGGAGUACCUUUAAGUCGGAGGUAAGCAUGCAUCAUUUCAUGAGCCAGAAUUGAGCCAGUUAGCAGCCUGCAUGCAAUCAAACCAAUGAAAAUGAAAACAUGCAGGGCAUUCCAAUGGAUUGGUAAUAGGCAUUCAUCAAAGGAAAACAAAAUCAAUUGUAAUUAGUUUGUUAAAUAAUGAAAGAAAAAACCUUGGCAGCCCGUACAGUAUAAGAAUUGCAGUCACUUCACACCGUCGAACUAGUUUGUAUGGUCCUGUGAUCAUAUCUAUGAUUCUGUUGCCUGGUCCAAUUAUUGGUCUUCUUAAUAUCUGUACAAUAUUAUUACAUUAUCUUAUUUUAUCAUAAAUGCCCUCGAAUUACAGAAAAUCAGUAGAUCAAUUUAGCAAAACAAGGAAAUGUUUUAAGAUCUUACAGUUCUGACAAUCUGCUCUUCAGAUAGGCAGAGACCUCUGGUUUCAGGAAGGUGGUGUCCCUAAUCAAUAAGAGUAAAAGAAUAAUAUUAGAUGUGCAUUAUGUACACCACACGAUAACGGACAGAAUGUCACUUACAAUUUUCUCUGCUUCCAUGGCUUCAUUUAGAGCUUGUCGCUCAACCAAAAGCAAGGGAACUUGUUGUUCUACUUUCAUGUUCAUACCCUCAUAGAACUCCUGAAUAUCAAUGUAUAGUGGCUGGCACUCAUUGGUGUCCAUAAUUGCAGUAUGCAGACACUCCAAGCAGAGUCUCCGGCCAUCAUCUAAUGUUAUAUAUUGACUGUGCUUUGGCUGGGUUUGACAACAAAACAAUAAAAGAAGGAAAUGCCGUUGGAAUCACCAGAGCCAUGAAGAUGUGCACUAUAGGUGGCACAAGAUUAUACAAUUCAUCAAAAUUACAGGUAAAUUUCUGAAAAUAGGCGCACAAAUGCAGCUGUUGAAGUAUUUAAAUGCCAUGCAGGAAUGGCAUUGGUUUGUUUUAUAUAAAUACAUCAAUACAUAUAUAACUGUACAUAAACAUAACACUAACCUCCAUUCGCUCACAGCUGCAGCACCUAGGUGUACCAUCAUUUUCAUGGGAAGGACAAUACUUCUGCAUCCAGAAAGGAUGGGCCCGGUAUUCAAUGAGGCCAUUUUUAUUUGUGGGAAUCUGGUUACCAAAAUGCCAUCAGUGUUAAGAAAACCUCAAUGGAUAAUCAAGGUUAAAUAAUUAGUUUUUACUAAACUUUCAAGCUCAUCUAUCAAACUGAAGUGAAGAAUGCUUACAAAGCUAUUGCAAACAUCACAUUUAGGAUGGAAACGCUCCUUGUAGCAGGACCUGUGGUAUGCAUGGUCUUCAUGAACAGCAAACUUCCAAAAAGAAAGGUUGGUGUUAAUUAUCUUGUGAAGCUGAACCAUGUAGAUCAGGGGUGUUCCAGAUUUUAUACCUCAUACUCUGAUAUUGGUAUAUCACAACCGUAACACCUGAAGCACUGGGGGUGCCAAACAGAGUCCAUACAACUGAGAAACCGUCCCUGACCAAUUGGAGUUUUGCAUCCAGCACAGACCCUACAGAAGGCAGUGGUGCAACCACAAACAUAAAAAUUACAGAACGGAAACGCUUAACCAGAGAAAAUGGAGAGAAAUCUCAUAAUAAGAUUCUACAUCACAGAGUAGGAUAAGGCUCAGAUAACCAGACAAGACAAUCGAUCCAUGUUGCAUAUCCAGUCAGGAUAAUUCUAUACUAUGAGACGUAUAGGCUUCUGAGUAUUACCCUCAUGUAUAUAGCCUUAUUUGAAUACUGGCUCAUUAUAUAAUAUAUAUCUCACCCAGGUAGCCUUUGAUAUAUAUGAGUUUGCAGCCAUAACAUGUUUUCAGAGCAAAUGGUGCUUCUUCAAACAUUUUCCAAACUCUAACCCUAGCCCUACCCUAGAAUCCAGAGUUGUUUUUUUCUCCUUGUAUAUGAGAGACCAACAAGCUACUGCAACGGAACCAAGUCUAAUACAUCUGAUGACUAAUGUAUCAGGAUGGUUUUCCUCCUGAUUAUCAGACGUAUCGUCCUAAAUUGUCAUUCACCCCAGUAGUGUGACAUGCAGUGUGUUUAUGCUUAAUAGUAUUUUGAAACGAAAAAUAACAAAUAAGUUUGUGCUGAUUGGAAGGUAAGAUUAUGUCAAGGGGCAGAAGCAACUAGUGAAGCAUCACAUUAUCUUAAUGUACCAUUGCGAGAAAUACCUCGAUCCAUUUGUGGGGAAAACAUAUGGGGGCAAGCUACUUGCUGGAGCACUUUCUGAGUGAACAUCUUCAAUUGGAAUAUGCUGACGAGGAGGAUGUUCAUCAUUCAUACUUUCUUGCAGAGCCCGUGCAAGCUGUUCAUCUUCAUCUAGAGUAGGACUGGUAUCUGGUUCAUAAUAAUAAGACAAAGCAUUAAAAUUCCUGGUUCUGAUCAACAGUACUCAUUUUCAUAUGCUCAUUUGCCAAUCAAGAACUGCUAUAUGCUAUUCUUUCUGUAAUUACUAAAUAAGAAAAUUUAAUAUUACAGGAAAACACUGUCCCAAAAAGAGUUAUGUUAUUUUUGGUCCCUGAACUUGAGAAUUCCAUAUUUAGCCCCUGAACUUGUAUAUGUGGUCAAGGCACGUCCAAGCCUUAUUUAAUUGGUAAUUAGACAUGAAAUUGAAUUUCAGGUUGAUGUGAAAUCAAUGAACAGUUAUCUGAAUGAAUAUAUCGAAGAGGAGGUCCAUCAUUCAUACUUUCUUGCAGAGCCCGUGCAAGUUGUUCAUCUUCAUCUAAGUGGUGCUCCGUAUCUGAUUCGUAAUUAAAAUAAAAAUAGAAAAGCAUUAGAAUUCAUAAUUCUGGCUAACCGUGCUUAUUUGCACAUGCUCAUAUUCAAUCUAAAACUAGCUGUCUGAUACUUCAGGUAAUUACUAGAGAAUAAAUUUCAAAGUUAGAGAAAACCCGUGUCCAAAAAUGUGUUGCUUUUGGUCCCAAACAUGAGGACUCCAUAUGUAGUCCCUGAACUUGUAUAUGUAGGCAGGAGGUAUGCCCUAUUUAAAUGGUAAUUAGAGAUGACAUGUCGUUUCAGGUUGCUAAUUCGACCUUGCAACCAUCAUGCAAAAUCAAUGAAGGGCUAAAAUUUUGGAUUUGCAUGGAGUUAUGAUGUGCUUUAAUAGUUUUCAGUUAGUGUUGCUUCACAAAAGAUAUUGUCAAACAUUACCAUUAAUUAGAACAAAAUGCUUUGUUAUCACUGGUUGCUAAAUUACGUCAGGUUUAGAACUGUUCUUACUGAUAACAGUUUAGUAGAUCUGAAAUUCACUCUCAAGUUUAAGGACACAAGUAACGAAACCACACAAUACAAUAGGAAUUUGCUAUGCACUUUUUUUGUCUCUAAAUUAGAAAUAGCCAAAACAUGCAAAGAUGGGUAGAGUAAUACAAACCAAUGGCCUUUCCCUUCCUUUGAUCUUGCUCUGAUAAGGAUAGUGCAAUAGCAUGAUCCAUGUCUUCGUCCUCAUUACCAUGCGCACCCUGCUACAGUAAGUUUUUGUAAUAAUCAAAUAAGGAAUAAUUAAGUAUGCAAACAGAACAUCCAGUGCUGUUCCUUCCCUCUCAGGAGUCAGGACUGAGGAACAUCCAGCAUAGUUGUGAGUCCUAAUAUAUAUUAAAAAUACUGCGAGUCCUAAUUAACCAAGCACAAAUCGAUAAGUUGUUCGCUAUUUAUAUUUUCUAGGCAGACAUACCACCAAUUGGCUUUAAUCAACAUGAUUUAUCAGAAACAGGGAAAGACCCAUUUCAAAUUAAGAGAGUAAAGAAUUAUGGGGAGUGCCUUGAGCAACUGAUUGUAUAUAAUAUCAAGGAGCACACAUUUUGAUGAACUAUGGUUCUCUUCAUUUUUUUACAGUAGGUAUUACUUAAAACUAACUUAUUUGCAUCAGUAAAUAUUAAGAUUAAGAGGAUAAGAUGCAACUGAGCAGAGUGGUACAUAUGAUUUAGUGUGUUGAGUUGAAUAGCCUUCAUGGGAGUUCCCGUUGUAAUGUCCCCUUGAAACUCUAUUUACUGAACCUUUAAAUAUUUUACUCAGCCAACCCAUGUUUAUAAUCUGGAGGGUCAAGAGCCUUCUUCCUGCACAGCCAAAAAAAAAGAAGAGAGAAUCAUAUUUAGAGGAAACUUGUGCAUAUGAGCUCUCCAUAUUUAGAGAAGGCAAUUGAUGGUCUGUCUAUAUCACAUUCUAGUAUUUCUUAUGUAGCAGUUGACCCAGAGAAGGUUAUUUCUAUAUCUAACAUAUUACCAUGAUACCAUCUCCACAAUUACUCCCUACCCCCAUCCAAACACCCACCAGCCACCAAACCUAUGUUCGAUGUUGCCUCCCCUCCUUCAAUACCAACUCUCUGUUUGCCUCUCCCCGACUCCCCUGUGGCCUUGAUACUCGAAUCAAUACAUAGGAAAACUAAAAACGUUCAUAUCUUGGGAACAUAAACACAUCCGGCAAAACAGGUAUCAAGUUGGCUUUGCUGAAGGUAAGAUGCAAGGCACCAUUGACACUCACUAAGCAAGAGAUGAAGGUGGAAGAAUCUUCAAGCACAUUCACAGGCUAGAAAUUUGCUAUGGUCCCCAAAAAUUUUCAUUGACUGCUUUAUAGCAAUUUCUUCUUCCUUGCCAAUUUUGUGAUGUGUAUUCCAGUAGUAAGCACAGACCUCAGAGGUAGAGUGAAUGCGCAUGAAUUUUCAACAGUCAAGCACAUUCAUAGGUUAUAAAUUCAACCAUAAUCAUCAAUGUUUAUAAUUCAGAAGAUGUAUAGCAAUUCUAUAUUUUUAUUUCCUUAUUAUCUUUUAAUGUAGAUCCCAACAGUAAGCGUAGAUGCAUACUGCAAGAAAACAUCAUUAUGUUUCUAGAAUUUAUCACGCCUAAAUUUUGGUUGUUACUUCUUCAGAGUGCUCUUUGCUUUGAAACUGAAUAUGAUCAACCAUGUAAAAAGGGGCCAGGCUCAGUAGUGCACUCUACAUUACUUUAAAGGGUGAGAUCAAAACACAAACAGGCUUGUGGGACACCACAAUGAUGAAAUGUUUCAAAAUUCCAUAUGCAUGGCAUCCCCAAUGCAAAAUGCACAUAAGUAACCCCAAAGAUUGUCACAACUAAAUAUUCCAAGGGCAAACUAUCAGAAAGAACCGUAGUUACAUUAGAACUGAGUAAGAGAGCAACUGGCUUACCUUGGGAAGGUCAGAUAUGCUCCAAUGUCCUUUAAUUCAGCAAAAUACAGUUGGAGACGGAAAUGGCAUCAACGAUGUUAUGUAAACUACGACAAAGAGACCAGCAAUUGAUCACCUACACAGCUAUAUCUGCUGUAUAUUUUCCCCUGAGUUCAUAAUGGAAAAAUGUAAUCAAUAAAAUUUAUUUAUGCUGUAGAAUCCUUAAAUCGAAAAGUAUACUGAAAUUCAACAAAAUAGCUUAGCAUGUCUCUUACUGUCUUAUAUUUACUAUACAUGUAAACCCUUUGAGAACCUGGAAUGCCAAAAAAUGCAGAUGCAGCCCUGCUUAUAUAAAUAUAAGUCGUGCGGAAAUCACUGGUGACCAAUCAAUCCUUAUCAAGUUGUCACCAUGGUAUGAUGAAUCUAAAUUCCAAUAUCCAGUACCAAAAAAAAAAAAUCUGUAGAGAGAAGGCAAGUGCACCUUCAAAGGAGAAGAGACUACAGAAUAAACUAAAAUGGCUAAUGUCAUUAUCUUAUCCUUACCUAGAAAGGAUAGGGAGGAUCUUGAAUCCAGAGAAAAAAUAUGUACAACUUUAUGCAGCAGGAAACCAAGACAACCAAACUAUUAUGCCUAAUUCCUGUUCCGCAACAAACAAGUCAUCAUGAAGCAAUACGGAGCACGAGAAAGGGGAACAAUUAGAGCUUUUCCUCCCAAAAGUAGAUGCGAACUAGUUGAGCACCAAAAAGGGUAAACAGCAAGGUAUAAGUACCUUGAUCUCAGCAUCAUAGGAUACAUAAUUUUGACUGGGAGAACAGCAGGGACCGGUGUGGAGCUCACUGGGGUCUGGGGACAACCCCCACCUUAUGUCCCCAAUCAGGCAAUGGCCACACUCCCAACUCCUGCACCUGAGCAGAGAGAAGCCAUCAUGACAGUCCCCACAAGGCAUGGAAGUACAGCCACCGAAUUCAUCACAGUAAUUCACCGCAAAAGGACAUCAACUACCAAAUUAACCUUGAGAACAGGUGAAGCAAGUAAAUUACGGCAAAAACCGCCCAAGAUCAUCGUAAUUCAACUAGAAGAAGCAGGGAGGAAAGACUCACCAGUUCAGAGCCUACGAAUUCAGCAAAGAUCCCCUCUUUCUGGCCUUCUUGCACCAGAACAGCCGGCCGGCCGGAGAGACACGAGCCGACAGAAUAGAAGGGAGACGAAACGGGGAGAGACGAUGGAGGUGGAGGAAAGAAAGCGAACAAAGCGUGACACGGACGGGAAGGCGGAGGUGCGGCAGCAACAGGGAGGCCGAGCCCGAGAGAUGGAAAAAAGAAAACAACCAUCUGAGGGUGACAUCUCUCUCUCUCCCGCUCCCACUGUCACUCGCCCACCGCCCGCCCGCCCGCCCGCGUCGCUGUCGCGGCGACGUCAACACCCCCCAUGCGCGUGGCCGGCGGGAGGGGGAGGGGUAGGAGGAGGCCCACGUGGGGCUUAGGCUGGCGAGCAGGCGCGGCGGCGUCUCGCGCACGCAUUGCGUCGAGCGCCCUGCCUGCGCGUCCAGGAAAUUCCCUGGCGGUUGGGCUUGCGGGGGUGGGCGGGUGAUUGGGGAGGUGGAGGGAAGAUGGGGACUUGGGUGACGGGUGGGAGGUCGCUGCCAGAGUCAAUGGCAGAGCAGGCCAGGUUGUUUUUGCAGCAAACCCCUCUCUGAUUACGGUAUUAAUCAAUGCAAUGCUUCUUCACCCAUGAGAAUGAUAGCUAGAAUGGGUAAAUCUCUUAUCUUCGUUUUGAGACGUGUACUCACUGUAGCGAACAUGAUCCCAUUAGACCAUAGUUUGUAAUUUUAGUGAUUGAGUAACAACAUAGUUAUUAGGAUUAAUGGUUUGUCAAGCAUGUGCCUGUAGAUUUUCUAGGUCCCAAGUAUGCAAACCAAACCAAACCAAACCAUGGCAAGGUCCAAAUCAUGGUGUUCAAGUGUCCAAGUUAUGAUAUCCAUGGUAUCUAAGAUUAUUUUAUGGUAUUCUAGAGCAUCCAAAUGACGGCAUCUUCGGUGUUUGCAUUAGACGAGUUGAAGAGAAAAAGAAACUAUCGGAUGUUCCGAUGGUCCACCUGAGAAGUGUCGGAGCAACCAUUGGACGAAUUGGUACAACUACAGGCAUUUGUCUAAGUCAAGACCACUGGAUGUUCCAAUACCCUGUUUUCUAGUAGCGUUGGAUGAAUUCUGAAGAGAAGGUUUGGAAGACGAGGAAAAUCCUAUAGCACCGGAUGAUCCGAUGGUAGGUCAAGGGGAGCGUCGGACGAAGCAUAUUUACUUUAUGAAGUUUCAGAGAGUUUUUGGCUAGAAGUUCUUCAGUACUGGAUGUUCUGACAAUACCAUUGGAUGAAGUAUCAGAUGAAUUUUGGAUGUGUAAGUGAAGAACUUGGGCGCGGGGAAGCCAAUGACUAGUUGCACCGGAUAUUCUGAUGCAUGCUAAAACAGACCAUCGGAAUAUCCGAUGGUAUACUUUAACUAGCUGUUGGAGCAACGGCUCCUUGAACUCUUAGGCUAUUUAUCUCACCUCCGCUCGCCUUAAAAAUCAAAGACUUAGCACAAGCUUAGAAGAGUGAUUAGUGCUAGGAUAGGCUUAGAAAAGAGAGAGUGCAAGGUGUGCCUGCCUUGUGAUCGGUUCUAGGAGCGACCACAUCUGUACAAGGUGUGUCGGCGCCUUGGAGCCUUGAUGGCUCGCCGGGAAGUCUUCAACCCUCCGGCUUGAUGUGGAGCGGCGUCGACGAUCGUGUGCGGGGUACGUGAAGACCCCCUUCCUUAGUGGAGAACCUCCUUAGUGAAGACGACAUCAAGGUUACCUGGGAACUUAGCGUGAGCCUUAGUGGCCAAGCCUUUGUGGUAAGUCAAGGGGUGUCCCGGAAGAGAUUUGAUGACCGGGAAGCAAUACUCUUGUGUGAGUAAACUAGUGGUGGCUACAUAGAUUAGUGGUGGUUUAGUGCCUACCGAUACCACGGGAUAAAUCAUCGUAUCAAGAGUUUGCUUCCCCUCAUCCUCACCUUUUACAUUUUCGCAUUUCAUACUUGCAACUUGUGUGCUUUUAUUUUCUUAGUGUAGUAUCUUGUUAGGAUCGGCUCUAGGUUGCAAAACUUGUCUGGAACGAGGAUUUCACACUAGAUCAAUCAUAGUUGUGCAUCUUAAUAGCAUGAUCUAGUUUAACUUUGAUGAAAAAAAUAGUGAAAAUUAUAGGUUAAAAUUUUAAGUUGUCUAAUUCACCCUCUCCUCCUUUUAGACUGCGAGAUCACCCAUUUCUUGCACUCUCUUGGGCAGAAAAAUUGCAAGCAUCGGUAGCUAUUGUUGUCAGGUGACAAGAAAUGCCUCUGGGUUGGCCCGUGCUCUGAACACACAAAAGUAAGCCCUCUUUAGCUGUUAAUGGUGCUAUUUCCUCGUUCCCAACGCCAACAGACCACUUCUAGUGCCUAGUGGUUGUCUUCUACAAUCAUUGUUGCCUAACAAGCAUAGAAUGCUCUCCCGUGGUUCUCAACAAGUAAAAAAUUAGGCGCAUGAUAUACGGUGUUUUGCGUAAGUAAAAAGCAGUAUAUGUUAGAGGAAAAUGUUUCUUAUGGUCCACAUCCAUACAGGAAUAGUUGAGUGCACGAGGUGUGCAAAUUAAAUAUGAUCAUUUUUAAUUCAUCGGACUGGAAAAAAUGGUUGUGAACUGUGAAGUAGCUAGUUUUGAGUCCAAACUGGUUGAAUUGACGGUGCAAUAAUACAACAGGUCCCCCGAGGUGUUGCAUGCAAAAGAAAUAGGCUUAAGUUGAAUCUGGUUGAUGCAUCAGCACGUCAAAAAGAGAUCACUGGUGAGCCGCCCGGGCACAUCUAUGGACUCAUGGAGUUAGUACUACACACAUUGUGCUUAUUAAUUAACUCCACCACUAGUACUGCUUAACAGCUUAUUGUUUUAGGAACCUGUCGUUUUCUUGCAAGACCAGUCAUAAUGCCGUAUCAUGAAUUUCGUGCAUCUCGGCUAAAAUGACUCGCUUUCCACUCGUGCGUGGCGUCACACAAAUUUACUUAAUUCGCACCACGUCAAUUAGGGAUAAACUAAAUUUCCAUACUUUUGAGUCCAAAUUGGUCACGAUGACGAUGCAAUAAUACAAUACUCUCACGUCCGAUCCCGAGGUGUUGGAUAUGCAAAGAAAAAGGUUGACGAUGAAUCUCUAGUUGAUGCAUCAGCACGUCAAAUUCAAAAGAGAUUGGUGGUGAGCAGGGGACAUCUAUGGAGUAUGGACUUAGUACUAAACACAUUGUUCUUAAUUAUAGCUCAACCACUAGUGCUUAAUAGCUUAAUAAUGUUUUGAAGCACAUUGUUCAACUGCGAACCUGUCAUUUUCUAUUUUUUAGAGUAAGGAAAGUAUCCGGUGCAAAUGUUUACGACCACAAAUGGUUCGCUUUCCGCUCGUAGCGUCACACCAUUUUUAUUUUCGAAUUGUGCCGCGUCAAUUACGACUAAACUGCAUUUCAGAGCUCAAACUUUACGCAAUACAACAGAACAAGCUUAGAAACUUCACCUUUUAUUCAGACGGAAGUUAUGUAUUCUAAAAGAGUCCACCUUUUAUACUCAUAGGUAGAGCAUAAACUGCAAAAAUGAUGGUAACCAACAUUUAUCAUUAUAAUCGCUAUGAGAGAGUGGAAAUACGGUUCGCACACCACCACCACAUGAAUGCAUAAAACUGCACUAUAAAUACCUUCAAGUGUUUGGACCGACAAAUCUUAAGUUCGGUAAAGUCCCAACCAUGAGUAUCUCCUUGUCGAUGGGCACGUCAUGUUGAAUAAAUCGCUAUAUUUGUCAUUUUGUGAGAUACGGUGAUGGGCAAGGAAUACAACUACUUUCAUGAAUGACUGAGGUGAUGUUUGUUGGUUCUUAUAUAGAGGGACGUAUGUUUUCUUUUCUCCAGGUCAUUGGAUAGACACAAAACUUAUCUGAAUGAACUGGUCCAGAUUUCAAAGCAAGAAAGGUGUAACAUCCCAUAUUUUUACGAGAUGUUUUUAAUUGCAAAAAUGUGAAUUUCAAAAUCUUUGUUGUGGAGGUGUGAGAAUUUUCAAACUAUUAAAGUGUAUUUAUUACCCCUCUCCCAAAAUUCCUAGAUUAAUUUGAAUUAAAAUUUAAAAUCUAGGUUGAAUAAAUGCUAGUGUGCCAUUUGGAUUUUAUUUGAUCAUUAUUUGAAUUUUUAUUUGAGUGGAUUCAAAUUUAAAUUCUAGAUUCAAAUUUGAAUUAAAACUAAACUAACCUAACUACCUAAACUAACUUGGGCCGAAACCUCACCCCGGCCCGCCUAAGCCGCACGGCCCAUCUAACUGCCGGCCUGCCUAAGCCGCCCCUUUCCCCCGCCAGGCCACUAAGUUAGCCGGCCCAAACCAUGGUCCGAUACACGCCGGCCCCUUCCAGACUCCUCCACGCCUUCUGCCGCUGCCAACCUGGGCCCGCACGUCAGCCACUCCAGGGGAAUAUUCCCCUUUCACCUACCCCCGGCCGCACGCACGCCGCAUGCGCGUCAUAGCGACCGCGUCGCCGCGCCACUACCACUCCGCAUCGUGACUGCUUUUGAGCUAGCCAGCGCCGAUGAAUGCCACACCGCCCCUUCGCAUCACCGCCGUCCGUUCCGCGUGCAAACCCUAGUCGCGGCCUACUUAAUCCCCGCAUCGGCCGCUCCCGGUUCCGCGCUGCAAGUUUGGGGUUUUCCCUGUCCGCCAGCGGUUUUGGAGAAGAAGGGGGAGAGCGGAGGGUGUCGGAGAAGAAGAAGAAGGGCGAAGAGGAAGAGGAAGGAGCCCGGGGAGAGGAGGAGGCGCCGUGUACCCGGAGCUUUGCCAUCACCUUCGCUAAGCCGUUCACCACCCGUCACUGCUCCGCCUCGCAACCGCGCCGUCAUCACCGCCGCCUUGACCGCCGGUGAGCCGCACGCCGCCCUUCUCCAUGCCUUUACCUAUCCACGCCAUAGAUAGGGCGCUAGGAACCGCUGGCACCACCGGGCACGCACGCCGCGGGCGCGGUCACCACGCACCGCGCGUGCGACAUCGCCCAUGGGCGCACGCCAUGCCACGGCCGGGGCUUGACCCCAAGCCCACGCUUUUGCCCCCGCGCGUGCCGCCGCUUCACCGUCGCCCUUGCCUCUGUGUGCCGGCCUUCGUGCCGAGCUUUUCUUGCAGGUGCCGCACACCGCCGCCAUCCACUACGACCAAGGCUCGGCCUUGGCCUGCGAGCACGCCUAGCCACCGCUAGAGCCCAAAGAUCGAGCAAUUAGGUUCCCUUGAGCCACCACUGUUCCAUCUUGGGUCGAGCCGCCGCCUCUCACCGCCGGCCGCCCGUGAACGCGCCGCCCGGCCGUGCGCCGUUAUUGUUGGCCAUAUGGCCCGUGGCCCAUGGGCCGGCCCACAGCACGCUUUUUUGGCCCAAUCUAGGCACGGCCCGGCACGGCGGCCAUCAUGCCCGUGUCGGCCUAGCCUACACCACGGGUCGGGCCUGGGCCGCUCCCUCAGCCCGCGUUCUAGCUCGUCACGGCCUAGCCCAUUUGGCCCGUGGACCACCAAUGGGUGGCACGGCCUGUUUAGGCCUAACAGGCCUGUUUCGGCCCAGCUAAGAGGCCAUAUAAAAUUGACCAAAACCUUACCUCCUUCCCCUUCCCAGCCGCCUCCGGCUUCCUCGCCCCUCGCCUCUGGGCUCCAGCUUCCUCGCGGCCUCGCCGCCUCCCCUGCCCCUGGCUCCUCACGCCCUCCACCGCUUAGGUGUCUGGUGCUAGCGUCGUCGUCGUCGCCUCAUCGUCAUUGCGGUCGACGAGGUGGUGGCUGGCGCCCUCCGUGCCUCCACCUGCCCCCCGCGCUCCUCCACCGGUGUCGAGCUUUGCUCCUGGGCGGCGGUGGUUGGGAAAAGAAGGAGUGCGGCGGUAGGGAAAAGAAGGAGAUGGCAGCGGUGGGGAAAAUAAGGAGCGCGGUGAUAGGAAAAAGGAGGAGACAACGGCGGUGGGGAAAAGGAGGAGCGUGGCGGUGGGGAAAAGGAGGAGACGGCGGCGGUAGGGAAAAGGAGGAGCGCGACGGUGGGGAAAACGAGGGGACGGAGCCGUGCCGGCCAGCGUGCCGGCACAGCCCGCCUAAAAAGGUUGUGGGCCGUGCCUGGGCUCCUGCUUUGGCACAUGGGCCGACACAGCCCGACACGAUUACUGUGCUCACCUGCUUCAACUAUGGCAAGCCCAGCCACAAGUCCUACGACUGCCCCGACAAGAAGACCAACCCGACGCCCACCAAGAUACUGGCCCCAGGGGGGAGAUCUCCUCAGACUGCCGCUCGGCAGCCUGCUGGCCACGGAAGACUCAACCACCUUACCAAGGAAGAAGCUCGAGAUGCCCCUGAUGUGGUGAUCGGUGAGUUUGUAGUUUGUGGCACUAAAGCUUUGAUUCUGUUUGAUAAUGGAGCAACUGGCUCCUAUGUUUCUUCUAAGUUCAUGACCCAACCGUCUCUUCCCAUGGUCCCCUAGCCUAUACCCAUUGUCACAAGCUCUCCCCUAGGUGAUAUGUGCUGCACCUUGAUGUGUAAGGGAGUAGAAAUGUGGAUGAAGGGACAUAAGUUCUUAGGAGACCUGACGGUACUUAAGUCCAACGGUAUUGACAUCACACUUGGCAUGGACUGGAUUAUCGCACACAAAGGUGUUAUCUCUAGUUCACCUCAUCUUGUGACCUUGCUACACCCUAAUGGAGAAAAGGUUGAGUUUGAGCCCAUGAAGUUCCGCGAUAUUCCGGCUGUGUACCGCCUCACUGAGAAGAUAGUGGCAGAUGUUCCUGUGGUUUGCGAGUACCCCGACAUAUUCCUAGAGGAGUUGCUGGGUUUACCUCCGGACCAUGAUGUAGGGUUUUUGAUUAACCUUGUAGCUAACCUAAAGCUAGCCUAUAGCUAGCAGGAUGCCACAUCAGCACGAGGGACCCACUGACCGUUGGCCUGUUGACCGAGUCAACGCUAAAAUCAUCAGGGCCAACUGAUGACGUUAGCAAGAUGUGUGGCACGCUCUGGUGCUGCCACGUGUCACACCUAUGAUUUUCUUAUUUUCGCGAAUUAUUUUAAAAAACUAGAAAUCGAUUUCAACUUCAAAAAUUCAUAACUGAAUCAUCUUAACUCCAAAAAUUAUGAAACUAGAUUCAUAAUUUUUCUAAAAUCAUGAAGAACACGGUAGAGUAGUCCUUGUUCUUGUUUGGGUCUUCUAUGGAUCUAUUUUAGUUUUUAUUUGCAAAUAGACCCUCGGUAAUUAUGUUAAUUACGCAAUUAGGAGCUACCGAAGACUCGGAGCUGAACCCGGAGCCGGAGCCGUUCGAGGACCACUAUGAUGAGGAAGAAUACUCAAGUUCAUGCCCAUUCAAUUUGAAUGGCCAUUAGGCAUUGCUAAUUAGAAUGCUAGCAUUUUAUUUCUUCGCAUAUUGAUGAUGAACCUUGCAUAGCCUAUUUUAUGCCUUGAAUCGUUGAGUGACCUACUACCAUACUACUUAUAUAUGCUAUGUGCGAUGCUUGCAUGUGUAUGUGAUAUUGUGAUUAGGAUUCUUGGUGUGAGUGGGGUUAAAACUGGCAGGAGAAGGUGUUUUUGGGAUAUUUGACGGGGGUGAGCUUUACACAACCCAAUCUUUGGGUUGGGGGCUUGGGGUUCGUUCUCGGACGUUCCCUGUUUGUUACUUAUUGCGAGUACAUGGUUGAGGAGCAUAGGAGUUGGUGGUGAUACCUGUUAUGGGUACCGUUGCAGUCCACGUUGUGGAGUUGCCUUGCGGAAGUUAGGAGCUCGCCCCGAUCUGAAAUCGAGUGGGUCGCCAUGCUUCACGGGAAUAUGUUAAACAUGCAUGUCACUCGCCGAAUUAUGGGUUUAGGCCUGGGUCGAGACUGGCAAGUGCGAUACUAUACCUGCCGUAGGAUAGAGUAUCAGUGUAGGGGGGAGAGGUGUGGACCUAUAGCCUCCUGAUUUUCUUUUGCCCCCGAUUGGCCCCGGCAGGAGUGCUUCACAGUUCCGAGGUGGUAUACUGCGGGGGAUCGCAUCCGAGCCCGAUUGCAAGAUGGUAUCGUAACUCCCAAGUUCUUCGCUCGGUAGGGUGAUGUUCUAUCGGUCGACGGACCAUUUGGGCUCACUCCGAAAUGGGUCCAGGUGUACACGCUCGAAAGAGUUAAAACUAUACGUAUAGCCGCGUCCUCGGUCAUGGACAAUCCUAUGACAUCACGACUCUCCAUUAUUUUGGGAUAUCUCUACCUCCCCCAUAGUGAUACUUGUGUGUGAUGUGAGCCACAAUUGCAGGCGGGAAGAGGGGAAGUUGCUCCCUUUCCCUUUAGGAUCCGGUUGUAGUUGUUGAGAGGUGAAAAAAGGGAGUCUCCACCUCGACCCUAGUUUGGAGAUAGGAUGUUGGUGAAAGGGACCCUGUCGAGGCAGGUGGGCCCGACGUGAUUAGAGAUUGGGAUGAUGGUUAUGGAGUUUAUCUUUGCGCUUGCCGCUACUUAGGAAACCUGAGCCUCUUCCUGACUAUUUCUUGAUCCUUAGUAUUAGGCCACUUAAAGCUUGCAUACGGAUGGUGUGAUGGACCUAUCCCAAUCCUUGGGGACAGCUUGUGAGUUUGCAGGUUACGAGUCCGACUUCAACAACAACUUCGAUGGAUGGUACGAUUGAGGGCUAAGUGCUACGCUCAAGGAUGCCUGUGGAGAUGGUCGUGAAGAUGAAGGCGUUGUCGGAAGCUAGUUACCGCUGCGUUGGUUUUAUUCGUGUCAUUUAGCCCAAGGGGCAUUUACCAGAUCGUACUCUCAUAUUCUGGGAUGUAAUAAAUAACUUGUACUGUUAUCGAUGUAUGGAUGUGAUAUUGUGCUAAAGUUCUCCAUGUGAUAUCUACUGAUACAGGAACUAUCACGAGGAUACAGGGAGUUGGAUUCUCCUCGCGGGAAUCCGGUUCGUUUCAAAAGGUACCAAAAGAUAGGGAUGAAUGGGAAAUUAUCCAAACUUUAGCAGCUAUAUAUCCAAAUUGUCCCUAUCUUUUGGUACCUUUCUUGAAUCUCUAACAGUUUAGGUUUUGUCGUAAUAACCAUCAAGAUGAAUGGGAAAUUAUCCAAACUUUAGCAGCUACCAAAGCUUCCUAUCUCAACUAUUCUUACUUAUUUGAUAAGUAACUCAUGUGCAGGUUAUUUCACUAAACCAAUUGCUUACUCUCUUUUUUCUCGGGAACCAAUUGCUUACUCUGUUUUCAAAAUGUAAAUAUUUUUUGUUUUGUGCUAAGUCAAAAAAUUUUAAUAUUGAACAUGUUUUAUACAAAUAUAUUAACACCCACAAUAUCAAAUAAGUGCACUAUCACGACAUUUCAUGGUGGAACUAAUGAAACUAAUUUAAUAUGGCCAAAGUUAGAGAAAUUUAACAUAGGAAAAAACUAUAAUAACCUGCAUUUUGAAAUGGAGGAAGUACAUCAUAACUGGAAGGCGUAUUGCACCUUAAGUACAUGGUGACAUUUUCACGCUCAUAUAACUUUAUUGUAUUUAUCUGCUGAUCUAAUAAGAUAUUGCAGCACUAGAACAAAGGAUAAGCUUGAACAUAUAAGCAAAGAAGUCAUUUUAAAGCAUUUAAUAACUUGACUUCACAUAACAGUUUGUUAACUUCUUUAUUAAUUUCAUUUCUUUUCUUUUUUUGAAAAUAAAUUUCAUUUCAUUUCUAGGAGAUGGCCCAUAUUAACAUCAUAGCAUGGCAACAUGCCAUGUGAUUGGAGAAUAGCACUGCAGUAAUCACCAGUUCACCACCCUUCUGUAUACACAUUUUUUUUGCAGGGACGAAAAGGAAAAUAACAUCAACAGGUUUAGUUUACAUCACAUUAAACAUCUCUACAGCCUUAUGAGAAGAAGUCAAUCUUUAUAAAUGCUACCUCUGCUAUGUCAACUAGACAAACUAAUCAUCCUCGCUGCGCACUGAGGCAAAGAUGCGCUUUCACAGGCUUGUGAUCGGAGCUCCUAACACAGUCGAGGGAUUCAUAUGAGCUUAAUACUGCAUCCAAGCCUGAAGAAUGGUCGACCUUGAACAAUAUCCUGUCUGUCCAAGAAGGCACUCUUACCUGCAGAAGUGAAGAUCACAAGCAUAACACGUAAGAUUUUCAAAAGCUUCGGUUGGUUCAGUCUGCAACUUGGCAUCUGGAAGUGAUGUUAAUUCAAGAUACCUUAUGACUUGUAUCGUAGAUGCUACUUCCGACAUCGUACUUGUAUGUUGGCUUAAACGACAGGGUUCCUUCGUAGUAUCCAUUGAACACUUCGCCCUUUUCAGCUUCUUGAAGAAGCUGAUCUUUGCCUCUUAGCUUCUGAAACAAGACAUAAAUGUGAGGCACUGCUACAGUCUGAAUUCUGAAAACUGGCUAGUGCCAACGAACACUUACACUCUGACGAUUCUCCUCAAUCAUCUUCCUUGCAGGUAUCGAGCUUAUUCCUUCGAGUCUAUAAUUGAGAUCACCGAGCCACACUGUUAUGUCUGCGGAUUGGGCAUACGGUUUACCGUACUUGGAGAAGAGUGAGCGUGAAAUAUGCUGGAAUUCUGAGUUCCUCUUCUCCACCUUGUGUUCAUGAGCUACACUUUAAUAAUACCAUGUCACUUCAUAAUGGCGCUUGAUUAAAAUUGACAGCUAUGUCAUCCUACAUCAUAGACUCAUAGUAUAUUUGAAUCUGUGUUGAUUUUAGUAUCAGAAUAUGAGAAACUGCAAGACUUAGCAUCUGAAUCCCUGAAAACUCUUCUACAAUCAUAUUUUCAUUGUCUGAAGUUGUAUAGCACUUGGUCUGAUACUCUGAUACUUAGAGCAUUGUAGUAAUGUAUUGGUAUGAAUUUUAGUAAACACAAGUGAAAUUGACAAAAGCAUAAACCUGAAAUUGAAAACCAACCUGCAAGAUGGCAGACCACAAAAACCAUCCGGAUCCCACUGAAGUUGAUGUACAUGGCCACAGCUCCUUUCUUUCUCCCAAUCAUACCCCCAAAACCUCCAACUGCAUGUUUGUCCACCUUCAUCUCUGUCCAAAAUUAGAAAAGCACGUUUAUAAACCUUCACCUCUAUUCAGAAUUAGGAAACUAGUUUGAAGAAAGAGGAAACAUGCAAUUGGCAUCAAGCAAUUUGGGAUAAAUAUGAUAAGAAAAGAUUUAGAAUCACCUCCGAUGUACUUCUCCGAACUCUUUGAUCCGAAAAGAAGCAUCUGAAGAGACUGCAUGCUUUUCUGACCUAAUAGACUGAAAAUUAAUGUGCAUCAAACAAUUUCAGAAUACUGCAAAAGGCUAUAGUGUGUUCAAUAGCACAGAUAAGACUGGGGAGUUUCUUACAUGUGUGUGUCGGCCAUGGUUUCUUGCAGAACUUGCGAAACAUCACAUUUUGGUGCCUCUUGCAGUCCAACAACUAGCAAAUCAAACUUUCUGUUGGAUCUUACCAAUUUUGUUAUAUCUUCCACAGACAUCUUCACCACCAGAACACACACCAAAUCAAUGUGAUUGGCCAAAUCAUCAUGAAAAAGAAAGCAAUCGAGUUACAAGUAUAUACCUUGCCAUUCAUGUUCCAUGUGAUGAUACACACACAGAGCACAGAGUUGGUGGUGAAUUCACAACCUUUCUGAAUUGGAAUUGUCUUUAUGCCAUCGUGAGUCCCAUCCUCAUCAGUAGAAACCAGGCUGUUAUUCUGUAGCUGGCUUCUCCUGUAAUGUUACAAGUAUCAAGAAGUGCAAGAGAAUCAUACGAAAAGCAACUUUUAGAAGUUCAGAUAAAAUACCAUGUUGGAAGAGUAAGGCUGCUGCAGUUUCCCAUAUCGACGUACUGAAUCCUUGUUUCUGAUCAUCUAACGUGGAGAGGACAACAAAGGAACCCUUUUUAUACAACUAUACUCUGAAACUUCAAAGGUUCCAGCCACAGAGAGAAUCAAUUGGGUUUGGAUAUGGAUACUCUUAGCCUCCAAAUUUCUUUGAGCAAUUUAUUUGGAUCUUCCAUGUGCUCUUGAAAAUUUCAACACACAUUACGAAAUAGCGACAAGUGGAAUACCGAAGAACCAACCAUUUGGGCCAGCUGGAUUUGAUAGUUAGGUACUGCAUAUCUUUGAUGUGACAAUGAGACCUCAUUUGUCUUCCCAUCAUUAGCAGGCGGCUACAGCGGUCCGUGUAUUAGGGGAAAUGUUGAAAGGGACUCCACGCAGGAAUGGAACCACCCAAGUUGCUAUCAAUAGUUUGGACACUUGGUGCUAAGGCAAACAUUUUCUCAGCAAGUAACCAUGGUGGCCAUGGACUUUUAAUGGAGAAAGUGUGUUCCGGAACACGCUGGACCUUCCCGAAAUUUCACAACUCCACCAAAAUUCCAUCGCUAGCUGUACAAGCUGAAUUGUAGGCAUCUGCAGGAAAAAGAUCAGUAUUGCAAGCAACAUCGUCCAUGAAAGUUAUCCAUCGAUGUCUUGCUAAUGAACAUUAUGAAUUUGACUCGAUUUUAGCAGGAUUUCAGUUAAUUUUGGUAAUGCAAGAGUUGAUCAAGAUUUCUAGGACUUGAGAAGGCCUUGGCCCUUGGCAGUUGCAACUAGCUAUCUAUCAGCAGCCCAUCAACUGAAAAGAAGGUCUUGAUAGCAACAUGUAUCCAUGCUCAUCAAAAGUAAGCAUCAGAACCAUCCGGUCCCUUGUUGGAUCAUGUGCCGAUCAAAUGGUCAGUGGACGUGCUGGAAUCAACAGUUCCUUGCGGGAUGAGGUUUUCCAAUCAAACGAGCAGCCGCUGCUGCAAUUUUCUGAUGGGGCUGGCUGUUGCCAAACUUUCUUGCUGCAAGAGAAGCAAAGUGGUGUUCUUGGGUAGUUGGGUUGACGACGCAUCAACAGAAGACGUAUUGAGAGUGGCAGGAUGGCAUAUCAGGCACGUGAUUGCAACUGGAAAACCACCAGCCCCAGUGCCCAACUCCAUCCUCUCGAAUCUGCACGCGGCCGACAUCACCUUACUUGAAACUACACCCAAAAUUGCAGCCAUUCUCAGUUGAAAACUAAGCAAAUCUGCACGGUCAACUCUCGUACGCGACGAGAGCGUCUACGUGAUGACCGACGAAAACCGUUGGCGGAGACGUAUACGUACGGUACGACACCAUCGACGACCGGAACAGGCCGCCCCGUCGCGCUUCAUCGGUCACGUUCUCUGUUCGCGAGUCGCCGCCGAUCCGGCCGGACCAAGCGACGUCGAUUGGCCUAAGCACGCCACGCCUCGCUAGCUCCAGUCCCGUGACCUCGAGCUCCGAAACAAACGUGGUAGGAUGGCAACAGCUGAGUUGGGGGCAACAUGGCAACUCCCGGUGAAAUAUGACUAGAUCAUACAGCCACGCAAAACAGAAUACAGGUCUCGGAAAACACCAAAGCUAACAGCUACGUGUACCGUCCCUGACUUUCACGAACACACAAAAGAGUUCAAGCAAGCACUGUGGUCACUGGAUCCAUGUUUUCUGUGGUACAUAGAAACUCAAUGCUGGGCAUAACUUUGCAGAGACGACCGCCUCAUUCCAGUAGCACCUAACAGCAAUAGCAAAACACG